rnacentral:lncRNA from 1 species
AUUUCCCCUUAUCCUGCCGUUAUGUACCCUUUCAGAGGGCUGAAUGAAGCAUUAGUGCCUUUGGGGAAGCCCCAGUCGACUCACACAACCCCAGAUCUGAGCACGCAAUAAAAAGGAAGCAGCAAUUCUCCUGCCACACCGAGGAUGGCAAACAGAACAGGCACAAACAACUGAUAAAAUUGUUUUAUUAUUCACUUUUGAAUUCUUUUACACUUUCCUGAUUAUUCUGUGUAAGGUGAAACUAGAACUGUUUAAAAGACAUACACAAAUCUAGUACAUCAAUAACCAGGUUUUUUUCUUUUUGCUAUACUAUUCUCACAACCACAUGUGUGCUAGGCAAUAUAACCGUCACAGAAGCAAACUUUAGGCAGAAUACUGGUCAGUAAAAACAAAGCGAAAAGAGCUACCAGAUAUACAGACAGGCUCGGUUCCACAUUCACUACUGCAUUUAUCAAGCGCCAAGUAUUAACUGCACAAUUUGUUCAGCUAGUAGAGGGGAGUUUUAAAAUCAGUGCAUGAAAUUCUCUCUUCAGCAGACAGAUGGACAGACUAACAGAUGGAGCCUAUAUACCUAAGUGGAAUGUGAAGGCAGGGGAUGAUACCGCGAGACUGAGAGGUGACCGUUCCUCAUCUUUUCCACUGCAUUAUUCACACAACUCUUAUUAGGUUUUAUUCAAUGGGACAUGUUUGAAACAUAACUAGGUGAGGACAUGGGGAGCUCAAAUAUUACAAGUUACAAGCAUUACAGAUGGGUAAGGUCCGCAUUCCAGUACAAUACAUGGGAAAUCCUGAAUAUUUGAGCCAGAUCUGGGAAUUACAACAAAAAAUGGCAGAUGAGCUGAAGACUGCAACAGCGCUGGCAGCUCUCAAGCAUCCGAGACAGAAAGCCCACCUCUGGCAGCCUCGGGUCUCAUCUGCCAUCCUGACAUCAGCCGCAACCAAAGAGAGGAUGAUGUGAGUGUGUGGGAGUCUAAAAUAGCUUCAAUGGAGUUGCAACAGGUAAAAGGGUCGAGGAUGAACGGAGUGGGAUGGGAGGAAGCUUUCUAUAAAGCAAACUUAAAGAAGGCUCGGUGGAGUAAUUAAAAGGCUUUCGAGAUAAAUUCAGAAUGGGAAUACCAUGGAGUUUUUGAUUCACCCAAGAGUAUAGUAAUGCAAAAGUGGCAGAUCACUUCAUGGUAUCAUCCAAACUAAUAAGGCCAUUCAAAAAAUUGAAUCUUCUGCUAUUGCAAGUCCAUGGUAGUGAACCAAGAAUCCUCACUACUGAAGAAUAUCGAAGAUAUAAGUAAGUUAUUGCUGUGGGAAGGGGCUUAGUCAUGCAUGUUGUAUGAGCACAAAACCACUUUUAGAAGUCAAAUCCCAGUUAUCUGCCAGUGUAAAGAGUUUGGAAAUCAAGCUGCUAACUCCCCCAUUUCCCUCCUCCUCAAAACAAACCCGGUCCCCAGAAAGAUAGGAUUGACAAAGUGAGCUUUUGACUGAAAGCGGUGCCUCAGACUUGGUUAAAAAUGUCUACAGAGUGUGCCUGUUAAACUAACUCAUAGCAGUGUGUUACUAACUGGAAUGCCAUACAUCGGAUUGUUUUCCAUCCAUGCCCCAGUGUCACAAUAGAAUCUCUAUAACUUUCUGUACAACUUUACAACAGAAUUGUACUUCGACUAUUUCGGUGCCAAAUUUUUACUUGCCAUUGUUACAUAAUUGAUGUCUAUUUUUCUACCAAUAAGAGUUUUGUAAAGUCAAUUGCGAUCACAAAACCCAUAAUCACAGUGUUCAGUUAAAAAUAUAAACACGGUAAUCAUAACUGUAAAUGUUCAUAAUAGGAAAAUUCGGAAUGCCAUUAUAAUAACCGACCUCCAUUUUAAGUACACAGAACACCAACCAACUGUUUUUACCCCACAGACAGUUUUUGCUACGUUGAGGUUGUGAAAGUCGAUGUACUAUUCUUUUUGCUUGUCGCACAAAGGGAUAUAUGUGUAGGAUACAGGGUGACAUUGAACAUAUAGUGAAGCGUGACAGCCAUUAGUUCUCUCCCUCCCCAGCAUCACCUUCAUCUCCCUGGUUUUCCGACGUCCAUAGAGUGAGGUUGUCUCUAAGCAGCUGCAUGAUGAGAGUACUGUCUUUGUAAGACUCUUCAUUCAGCGUGUCCAGCUCUGCUAUUGCUUCAUCAAAUGCCGUCUUGGCCAGAUUACAAGCUUUUUCAGGAGAAUUGAGUAUCUCAUAAUAGAAGACAGAGAAAUUCAGAGCCAACCCAAGUCGAAUGGGGUGCGUUGGCUGCAUCUCUUUCUUGCUAAUUUCAAAUGCCUCCUGGUAAGCUUGCUGAGAGUUUGCUACUGUUGUUUGCUUAUUGUCCCCAGAUGCCACCUCUGACAGGUAUCUGUAGUAAUCGCCUUUCAUUUUCAAAUAGAAGACCUUGCUCUCUGGCUGCGUGGCAUUGACAAUAAGGUAUUUAUCCAGGAGUUCCAGAACAUCAUUGCAGAUAUCUUGCAAUUCAGCCUCAAUUUUCUCACGAUAUUCUCUUCCCAUCUGCUGUUUUUUCUCAUUCCUCUCUGUUUUCUGUUCAAUGCUGGAAAUCACACGCCAAGACGAGCGGCGGGCACCGACCACGUUCUUGUAGGCAACUGAGAGGAGAUUCCUUUCUUCGUUGGACAGUUCGUGUCCUUGCUCAGUGACAGCCUUCAUAGCAGCAGCCAUGUCAUCGUAACGCUCGGCCUGCUCAGCCAGUUUGGCUUUCUGUACCAACUCACUCUUAUCCAUGGCUAUCCUGCGGGGGGGGGGUGGCGCGCACCGCAGCCUGGAUCCCGACGGGCGAGGCGACUGGAGCGCGGCAGCCGCUCGGCGCACGCACACACACCCUGCGGAGCUGCGGCCGCGCU